GACGAACGCUGGCGGCGUGCCUAAUACAUGCAAGUCGAACGCUUCUUUCCUCCCGAGUGCUUGCACUCAAUUGGAAAGAGGAGUGGCGGACGGGUGAGUAACACGUGGGUAACCUACCCAUCAGAGGGGGAUAACACUUGGAAACAGGUGCUAAUACCGCAUAACAGUUUAUGCCGCAUGGCAUAAGAGUGGAAGGCGCUUUCGGGUGUCGCUGAUGGAUGGACCCGCGGUGCAUUAGCUAGUUGGUGAGGUAACGGCUCACCAAGGCCACGAUGCAUAGCCGACCUGAGAGGGUGAUCGGCCACACUGGGACUGAGACACCGCCCAGACUCCUACGGGAGGCAGCAGUAGGGAAUCUUCGGCAAUGGACGAAAGUCUGACCGAGCAACGCCGCGUGAGUGAAGAAGGUUUUCGGAUCGUAAAACUCUGUUGUUAGAGAAGAACAAGGACGUUAGUAACUGAACGUCCCCUGACGGUAUCUAACCAGAAAGCCACGGCUAACUACGUG
rnacentral:rRNA from 1 species